rnacentral:RNase_P_RNA from 1 species
UUUUCGGCAAUCCCGCACCGGGGGUCACUCACGCGGUACAUUGGUGCUCAAUCUAACCCUCGGGAAGGUCUGAGACGAGGCCAUUUCAUUGUCGGAGAGAUGCACUAGCCGGGCAGCCUUUUCGUACAGGCACAGGCGAAUAGAAAGGGUAUCGGUUGGAGUGUCGCAUUUAAUCGGAACUGCCCAGCCGUUUAAAUAAGGUAUAUACUCUUGUUAGUUUGGGUUAUUCUACGACUCUUAACGCUUCAUUCAUUUAUUUUUGGCCCGUUUAAAUUGUGUUGUGCAUCAUAA